rnacentral:tRNA from 2 species
GGGGCUAUAGCUCAGCUGGGAGACCUCUUGCAUGGCAUGCAAGAGGUCAGCGGUUCGAUCCCGCUUAGCUCCACCA